GACGAACGCUGGCGGCGUGCUUAACACAUGCAAGUCGAACGAUGAAGCCGGAGCUUGCUCUGGUGAAUUAGUGGCGAACGGGUGAGUAACACGUGAGUAACCUGCCCUUGACUCUGGGAUAACUGCGGGAAACUGUAGCUAAUACCGGAUACGACCCUCGGAGGCAUCUCCUGGGGGUGGAAAGAAUUUCGGUCAAGGAUGGACUCGCGGCCUAUCAGCUAGUUGGUGAGGUAAAGGCUCACCAAGGCGACGACGGGUAGCCGGCCUGAGAGGGUGACCGGCCACACUGGGACUGAGACACGGCCCAGACUCCUGCGGGAGGGAGCAGUGGGGAAUAUUGCACAAUGGGCGCAAGCCUGAUGCAGCAACGCCGCGUGAGGGAUGACGGCCUUCGGGUUGUAAACCUCUUUUAGCAGGGAAGAAGCGAAAGUGACGGUACCUAAAGAAGAAGCACCGGCUAACUAUGUGCCAGCAGCCGCAGUAA
rnacentral:rRNA from 1 species